rfam:Naumovozyma castellii CBS 4309 chromosome 7, complete genome
UCCUUGUUAGCUCAGUUGGUAGAGCGUUCGGCUUUUAAGAAAUUUGUCUUAAACCAAGGAUACCGAAAUGUCAGGGGUUCGAGCCCCCUAUGAGGAG